AUGAGCCAUACAAUGAAGCUAUGGGAGAGAGCCAUUGAGCACCGCUUAAGAAGAAUGACAAGCGUGACCAAAAAUCAGUUUGGUUUCAUGCCUGGGAGGUCGACCAUGGAAGCCAUUUUCUUGGUACGACAACUUAUGGAGAGAUAUAGGGAGCAUAAGAAGGACUUGCAUAUGGUGUUCAUUGACUUGGAGAAGGCCUAUGAUAAGAUACCGCGGAAUGUCAUGUGGUGGGCCUUGGAGAAACAAAAAGUCCCAGCAAAGUACAUUACCCUCAUCAAGGACAUGUACAAUAAUGUUGUGACAAGUGUUCGAACAAGUGAUGUCGACACCGAUGACUUCCCGAUUAAGAUAGGACUGCAUCAGGGGUCAGCUUUGAGCCCUUAUCUUUUUGCUUUGGUGAUGGAUGAGGUCACAAGGGGUAUACAAGGAGAUAUCCCAUGGUGUAUGCUCUUUGCGGAUGAUGUGGUGCUAGUUGACGAUAGUCGGACGGGGGUAAAUAGGAAGUUAGAGUUAUGGAGACAAACCUUGGAAUCGAAAGGGUUUAGGCUUAGUAGAACUAAAACCGAGUACAUGAUGUGCGGUUUCAGUACUACUAGCUGUGAGGAGGAGGAGGUUAGCCUUGAUGGCCAGGUGGUACCUCGGAAGAACACCUUUCGGUAUUUGGGGUCAAUGUUGCAGGAGGAUGGGGGUAUUGAUGAAGAUGUGAACCAUCGAAUCAAAGCCGGAUGGAUGAAGUGGCACCAAGCUUCUGGCAUUCUCUGUGACAAGAGAGUGCCACAAAAGCUAAAAGGCAAGUUCUACAGGACGGCGGUUCGACCCGCAAUGUUGUAUGGCGCGGAGUGUUGGCCGACUAAAAGGCGACAUGUUCAACAGUUAGGUGUGGCGGAGAUGCGUAUGUUGAGAUGGAUGUGUGGCCACACGAGGAAGGAUCGAGUCCGGAAUGAUGAUAUACGAGAUAGAGUUGGGGUAGCACCAAUUGAGGAGAAGCUUGUCCAACAUCGUUUGAGAUGGUUUGGGCAUAUUCAGCGCAGGCCUCCAGAAGCUCCAGUGCAUAGCGGACGGCUAAAGCAUGCGGAGAAUGUCAAGAGAGGGCGGGGUCGACCGAUUUUGACAUGGGAGGAGUCCGUUAAGAGAGACCUGAAGGAUUGGAGUAUCGACAAAGAGCUAGCUAUGGACAGGGGUGCGUGGAAGCUUGCUAUCCAUGUGCCAGAGCCAUGA
rnacentral:rRNA from 1 species